UACGUAGGUGGCAAGCGUUGUCCGGAUUUACUGGGCGUAAAGGAUGCGUAGGCGGACAUUUAAGUCAGAUGUGAAAUACCCGAGCUUAACUUGGGUGCUGCAUUUGAAACUGGGUGUCUAGAGUGCAGGAGAGGUAAGUGGAAUUCCUAGUGUAGCGGUGAAAUGCGUAGAGAUUAGGAAGAACACCGGUGGCGAAGGCGGCUCUCUGGACCGAGACUGACGCUGAGGCGCGAAAGCGUGGGGAGCAAACAGG
rnacentral:rRNA from 1 species